rnacentral:miRNA from 1 species
CUCAUUUAAGUAGUCUGAUGCC